rnacentral:rRNA from 1 species
UACGUAGGGCGCAAGCGUUGUCCGGAAUUAUUGGGCGUAAAGAGCUCGUAGGCGGCUUGUCGCGUCGAAUGUGAAAUCCCGUGGCUCAACUGCGGGUCUGCAUUCGAUACGGGCAGGCUAGAGUUCGGUAGGGGAGACUGGAAUUCCUGGUGUAGCGGUGAAAUGCGCAGAUAUCAGGAGGAACACCGGUGGCGAAGGCGGGUCUCUGGGCGAUACUGACGCUGAGGAGCGAAAAGCGUGGGGAGCGAACAGG